UGCAUAAAUGAACGGUUAUUU
rnacentral:piRNA from 1 species